rnacentral:rRNA from 1 species
GACGAACGCUGGCGGCGUGCUUAACACAUGCAAGUCGAGCGGUAAGGCCCUUUCAGGGGGUACACGAGCGGCGAACGGGUGAGUAACACGUGGGUGACCUGCCCUUAGCUCUGGGAUAAGCCUGGGAAACUGGGUCUAAUACCGGAUAUGACUCCAUGACGCAUGUUGUGGGGUGAAAGCCUUGUGCGGCUAGGGAUGGGCCCGCGGCCUAUCAGCUUGUUGGUGGGGUGAUGGCCACCAAGGCGACGACGGGUAGCCGGCCUGAGAGGGCGACCGGCCACACUGGGGACUGAGACACGGCCCAGACUCCUACGGGAGGCAGCAGUGGGGAAUCUUGCGCAAUGGGCGAAAGCCUGACGCAGCGACGCCGCGUGAGGG